CAUCUCAACGACUUCUCGCCCUUCCUCGUCAUCCGCUCCUCCCUCGGAGGGUUGGACCCAUCCGCACGAUGGAGAAGCCCCGAGCAAGACCGUCCGUGGAAGAAGGCUAAGGUGGGGACCCGUAAGAUGUCUGAGGCAGCAGCGGCUGAGGGAACUACUACCGUGUGGGGGGGGGUGAGCGCGGAGAAAGUUCUCAGGACACGCCCCUGACGGAGGUGUUGGCGGGAGCACGCACGGUAAGGAGCGUGUUCCCCUGUCGGGGGUGGAGCCUGGGAGGUCGGUUCGACCGGCGUCGAUGCAAGACCUUUGUCGCAUCCGACCGCAAACUAAGAACAAGCCUUUCUAAGCUCUAUUGAUGGGUGAAUUACCUGAUGGCAAGGCAAAGGCUUCCCUCGAGCCGCAUUGGUCGGGGCUGACCGUGGGGACCCGCGUGUCGACUAAUGGCUUCUCGUUCGUGGCGUAUAUCCAUGGUGCGCUCGUCCCGACAGCAGUGAAGUAGGUGUAUACCUCUCCAUCGGAGGUGCUGAUCAAUAAAGCCGCCAAGUCCUUGGUCUGGAACCAACACUACUACAUAGGGCUGAUAGAUCGAGUUCGGGACGCGGGUCGAGUAAUCAGCAACAUGGGGGAUAAGAUUUCCGAGCUUCAUGGUCAAAUCAAAGAAUUAAAGCGGGGUUCUGCCCCGGAAGCUGUUGCGAUGGCCGAGUAGCAAGUGACCAACCUGGAAUCGGAGGUGGCUCGGCUGAAGUCUGAACUUGCGGAUGCUGAGCGGGACCGAGCCAUGCUUCGAGAAAAGCUUGCAGAGGCUCAGUGCCUAUUGAUGGAGUCCCGCAGGUCUGCUCGAUGGAGGGCGAGCUACUAGACCUGUCGUGGGGUCUGGAGGCGGCUUGGGUAGAGACGAAGAAGGCUGAAGAAGCUCUUGCUGAGGAGGUUCGGGUGGUGCUUGAAAAGGGGAAGAAAA